UCGAUGCGAUGCUCAGCAAACGGAGUUG
rnacentral:piRNA from 1 species